rnacentral:rRNA from 1 species
UGGGGAAUUUUGCGCAAUGGGGGAAACCCUGACGCAGCAACGCCGCGUGAGUGAUGAAGGCCUUCGGGUCGUAAAGCUCUGUCAGAGGGGAAGAAGUGCAGGGGCGCUAAUAUCGCUUUUGCUUGACGGUACCCUCAAAGGAAGCACCGGCUAACUCCGUGCCAGCAGCCGCGGUAAUACGGAGGGUGCGAGCGUUGUUCGGAAUUAUUGGGCGUAAAGCGCGUGUAGGCAGUUUGGUAAGUCUGAUGUGAAAGCCCCGGGC